rnacentral:snRNA from 1 species
AAUUUUCUGAAAUCUUAGGAUAAAAUUAGAGAAGAUUAGCCUGGUCCCUAUGCAAGGAUGACACACAUAUUUGUGAAACUUUCCAGAUUUUA